GAUGAGAAGCUUCGACUAAGGUUCGAUUCGAGCGCAGCGAGAAAGCGUUGCCGUAGGCAACGACCCGAAGGGCGAAGCGCGCAGCGCUGAGUAAUCCUUCCCCCACCACCA
rnacentral:sRNA from 1 species